rnacentral:rRNA from 1 species
AACGAACGCUGGCGGCAUGCCUAACACAUGCAAGUCGAACGAUUAUGGAACUAGCUUGCUAGUGCCCAGAUAGUGGCAGACGGGUGAGUAACGCGUGGGAAUCUACCUAGUAGUACGGAAUAGCCGUUGGAAACGACGAAUAAUACCGUAUAUUCCCUGAGGGGGAAAGAUUUAUCGCUACUAGAUGAGCCCGCGUUAGAUUAGCUAGUUGGUAGGGUAAUGGGCCUACCAAGGCAAUGAUCUAUAGCUGGUCUGAGAGGACGAUCAGCCACACUGGAACUGAGAUACGGUCCAGACUCCUACGGGAGGCAGCAGUGGGGAAUAUUGGACAAUGGGCGAAAGCCUGAUCCAGCAAUGCCGCGUGAGUG